AACGAACGCUGGCGGCAUGCCUAACACAUGCAAGUCGAACGAGACCUUCGGGUCUAGUGGCGCACGGGUGCGUAACGCGUGGGAAGCUGCCCUUAGGUUCGGAAUAACUCCCCGAAAGGGGUGCUAAUACCGGAUAAUGUCUUCGGACCAAAGAUUUAUCGCCUUUGGAUGGGCCCGCGUUGGAUUAGCUAGUUGGUAGGGUAAAAGCCUACCAAGGCGACGAUCCAUAGCUGGUCUGAGAGGAUGAUCAGCCACACUGGGACUGAGACACGGCCCAGACUCCUACGGGAGGCAGCAGUGGGGAAUAUAGGACGAUGGGCGAAAGCCUGAUCCAGCAAUGCCGCGUGAGUGAUGAAGGCCUUAGGGUUGUAAAGCUCUUUUACACGGGAUGAUAAUGACAGUACCGGGAGAAUAAGCUCCGGCUAACUCCGUG
rnacentral:rRNA from 1 species